UCUAAUAUGGCAGAUUAGUGCAUUGGUCUUAAGCUCCAAUUAUAAAACUUAUUUUUUUUAGAA
rnacentral:tRNA from 1 species